rnacentral:rRNA from 1 species
GACGAACGCUGGCGGCGUGCCUAAUACAUGCAAGUCGAGCGCUGAAGCUUGGCACUUGUACCGACUGGAUGAGCAGCGCACGGGUGAGUCACGCGUGUGGAAUCUGCCUUUGUGUGGGGGACAACAUUGGGAAACGAAUGCUAAUACCGCAUAAAAUCUUUAAACACAAGUUUUAAGGUUGAAAUACGCAGUUGCAUCAUUCACUGACGACCCCGGGUCGUAUUAGCUGGUUGGUGGGGUACCGGCUCACUAAGGGGUGGAUAGGUAGCCGACCUGAGAGGGUGGUCGGCCACAUGGGAAGGGGAACGCGGCCCAAACGCCUACGGGAGGCAGCAGAAGGGAAUCUUCGGCAGUGGACGAAAGUCUGACAGAGCAAGGCGGCGUGAGUGGAGAAGGUUUUGGGUUCGUAAAACUGUGUUGGUAGAGAAAAACGGUGGUGAGAGUGAAAGCACAGUAAGUGACGGUAACGAGCCAAAAAGGAACGGCUAACUACGU